AUGUUAUGUGAGCCAGACUCCCUUUGUACAUGUGUGCUGAAGGCGAGGUAUUUCCCUUCUGGCGAUCUUCUAAAUGCUGAAUUGAAAAAGGGUUCUUCGUAUACCUGGCAAAGCAUACAUGCAGGCAUCCAAUGUUUUAGGAAAGGGUAUAUAUGGCGGGUGGGAGAUGGUACGGAAAUAAACAUAUGGGAUGAUCCGUGGAUUCCCAAUAGCCCGUCAAGGAAGGUUUUGACUGAGCGACGGAAUAUUGUGCUUACGUCAGUCUCAGAAUUGAUCAAUCCGGAUGCGAAGGAAUGGGACGAACAGCUAGUAAGGAGCCUCUUCUUGCCAGUUGAUGCGGCAAGAAUCCUUAACAUUCCCCUAGCAGUUGGUUAUAUGGAGGAUUUUGUUGCUUGGAAUUAUACCAAAUCGGGCCUAUUUACCGUCAGGUCCGCUUACUACACCGAAUGGGAGUUUCAGCAUGGGAGGAAAUUGGCUAGGACGAGCCCUCCGAGCACCACUGCUGUGAACCCUGUCUGGCAGCAAGUGUGGAAACUUCAAGUCCCGGCAAAGGCAAAGAUUUACUAUUGGAGGGUCUUGCAUGGGACUAUUCCAUGUAAUAGUAUUCUCGCUAAUCGACACAUACAGACCAGUAGUAUUUGCCCUAUCCGCAAAAUCCAUUGUGAGGAUAUCAAGCAUGCUACCUUCUCAUGUGGCCGAGUGUCUGAAGUCUGGGAUAAUUUGGGCGUGGGUGACACCAUAGCUGCAGCGUGUGGACAUGAAAAUACAGGCCCCGGUGCCUUGGAAGCCAUACUGCGAGGUCACAUUUCGGGACCUACUUAUAUCUCGGGUGUGGGAUUUAAGGAACUUGUGGCGACGGCUUGUUGGUAUACAUGGUGGGAGCGGCGUCGUAUUGCGCGGGGCGAACUGGUUCAGACCACUGCUCGCUCAGCACAAGGUAUCGCUGCCAUUGUUUUGAAUUAUGCGAGAGCAGCAAAGCCAGCAAGCAAGAUUCGGAGACACGGCUGA
rnacentral:rRNA from 1 species